rnacentral:rRNA from 1 species
AACGAACGCUGGCGGCACGUUUUAAGCAUGCAAGUCGAAUGGCAGCAGGGGCAACUCUGUGAGAAUGGCGAACGGGUGAGUAACACGUAGGUGAUCUGCCUUGAGGAUGGGGAUAGCCUGUGGAAACACAGGGUAAUACCGAAUAAGCUGACGGGACUUUGGUUUUGUUAGUAAAGGUGCUACGGCACCGCCUUGAGAGGAGCCUGCGGCUGAUUAGCUAGUUGGUGGGGUAAGGGCCUACCAAGGCGACGAUCAGUAGCCGGCCUGAGAGGGUGUACGGCCACACUGGGACUGGGACACGGCCCAGACUCCUACGGGAGGCAGCAGCUAAGAAUCUUCCGCAAUGGGCGAAAGCCUGACGGAGCGAUGCCGCGUGAUCGAUGAAGGUCGAGAGAUUGUAAAGAUCUUUUCUACACGAGGAAUAAGUCUGGGAGGGAAUGCCUGGAUGAUGACGUUAGUGUAGGAAUAAGCCCCGGCUAAUUACGUGCCAGCCGCCGCCGUAA